rnacentral:lncRNA from 1 species
ACCUGUCCAGAGUGAAACCAGAGCUUCUGCCUGCAUGGAACAAGAGCAAGAGAAAGGUAGCCGAGGAGACUGACCUGCUUAUCCAUGCUACUUAUCAGGAACUGUGGAACCAUGGAGAACAUGACCCUGGCCCUCCCUUCAGGAUCUGCCUGAGAUCUGGCUGCCUCUUGAGACACUAGAGCCCUGGAUUCAAUUGCGGAACAUUAUGUUGGAGAAUAUAAACACUUCUAGACUGUGCCGGCAUUUGGGAAGGAAUAGUCUGUUUUGACUUGAAUGAACAAAGACAUACGUCUCUGGGCCUGGGGAAGGCUUACCAGCUCAGCUCAUCUACUGUCUGGUGGCAAACAUGUCCUGGGUACUGCCACUACCCAGGACACUCUUCCUCACUCUGUCCCUGUCCAGUUACCGCACCCUUCCCUGUCUGACCCCGCCUCCUGUGCCCACUCGCCUCUGGACCCAGAGAUUCUUCUUGUUUGCUCUAUCAUCCUUGAGCCGGAUACAGGGUGAAUAGUUAACCACACUUGGGUUGAAUGGGAUCUUGAUUCUUAUUUCUGUUCCUUGGAAAGAGGGGUCAGACUCGGUGCGUGGCACCCGGCCUGGAAGCAGCACAAGACUCCAGAGUGAUACAUGAUCUGCCUGGAUGGUCCCAGGGGCUCUUUGGAGGUCAGAGCAAGAGGAGCAGCCUGAGCAGGGGGGCUGAGGAGGGCCGGCACUGGAUCACACGCAGGCGUAUGUCUGGAUAGGCAGAGAGGAACCCACUUUUCAUUCCCUCUUCUGUGACACAAAUGCAAGGAACUUUGAAGACACUCUUCGGAGGUUGCAAUCGGAGAUCAGCUUAUCCAAGGGCUUCAUGUCUGAGCUCUGUUGGUCGUGCCUCCUGAGGACCUCUUUCCUCUACUGUAUGCUGAUGACACACCCAUCCGAUGGGAGCUGGAGCCUUGUCUGGUCCUUUCCUCUAUGACCCCACGUGUACAGUUGGAAAUCCUUCCUAAUCAUGCCUUGAUUCCCCCUUUUCGACUACACUCAAAGAUGUUUGAGCUGUUUUAUUUGCAAAAUGGAUGGACAGUUUGUUUAUAUAAAACAAUCCCAGCUUCCUUGUGCUCUAUCUGGUGUGUUUGUAUGGCUCUUCAGUGACUUUAAAGUGGAGCAUUGACCUUGGCCUCUUUGAUUCUCCAUGGUGGAAUAGAGAAGACCUCUUGAGGAUGCUUAAUGUUGCUGAGAUCUUAAGAAGGCUUGCAGACUUCCUCUUCCUCCCUCCUUCUCCCACCUCCUCCUUCCCUAAGCAGCCUCUGCAUUGUAUAAAUUCCUUUAUAUAAAUUCCUCUG